rnacentral:rRNA from 1 species
AUACGUAGGGGGCGAGCGUUGUCCGGAUUUAUUGGGCGUAAAGGGUGCGUAGGCGGCCUUGUAAGUCAGAUGUGAAAGAUCAUGGCUUAACUGUGGUAAGCAUUUGAAACUGCAGGGCUUGAGUACAGGAGAGGAGAGUGGAAUUCCUAGUGGAGCGGUGAAAUGCGUAGAUAUUAGGAGGAAUACCAGUGGCGAAGGCGACUCUCUGGACUGAUACUGACGCUGAGGCACGAAAGCGUGGGGAGCAAACAGGAUUAGAUACCCUGGUAGUCCACGCUAUAAACGAUGAGUGCUAGGUGUCGGGUGUCAAACCUCGGUGCCGCAGUUAACACAUUAAGCACUCCGCCUGGGGAGUACGGCCGCAAGGCUGAAACUCAAAUGAAUUGGCGGGG